rnacentral:misc_RNA from 1 species
AAGUCGUAACAAGGUCUCCGUUGGUGAACCAGCGGAGGGAUCAUUACUGAGUUUAGCACUCAUCAACCCUGUGUAUCUACCUAUUUUGGCUCCUUCGGCAGGCGGUCCCAGGGCGGGACCGAGCCUUUGGGCACCUGCCGAAAGGGCAAACCAAUUGCUCUUUACUGUAUCAUCUGAGUUUAAUACUAAGAAAUCAAAAUUUUCAAUGGUGGAUCUCUUGGUUCUG